CUACGGGCCGCAGCAGUGGGGAAUAUUGGACAAUGGGCGCAAGCCUGAUCCAGCCAUGCCGCGUGAGUGAUGAAGGCCUUAGGGUUGUAAAGCUCUUUCGUCCGGGACGAUAAUGACGGUACCGGAAGAAGAAGCCCCGGCUAACUUCGUGCCAGCAGCCGCGGUAAUACGAAGGGGGCUAGCGUUGCUCGGAAUCACUGGGCGUAAAGGGCGCGUAGGCGGCCAUUCAAGUCAGAGGUGAAAGCCCAAGGCUCAACCUUGGAAUUGCCCUUGAUACUGUUUGGCUUGAGACCGGAAGAGGUAAGUGGAACUGCGAGUGUAGAGGUGAAAUUCGUAGAUAUUCGCAAGAACACCAGUGGCGAAGGCGGCUUACUGGUCCGGUUCUGACGCUGAGGCGCGAAAGCGUGGGGAGCAAACAGGAUUAGAUACCCCUGUAGUC
rnacentral:rRNA from 1 species